AGCUCCAAUAGCGUAUACUAAAGUUGUUGCGGUUAAAAAGCUCGUAGUUGAAUCUAGGAGUGUGAGCGCGCGGUCACUCGAAAGAGCGUACUGUGCGGCGCACUCUUCUCUGCGGUUGCGCGUGUAUGUGCUCUUAACUGAGUGCAUCACUCGACUGCAAAAUUUACCUUGAAAAAAUUAGAGUGUUCAAAGCAGGCCUGUUUUGCCUGUAUAUUCGUGCAUGGAAUAAUAAAAUAUGAAUUCGGUUCUAUUUUAUUGGUUUUCGGAACUCGAGUUAAUGAUUAAGAGGGACAGACGGGGGCAUCCGUACUCUGCCGUUAGAGGUGAAAUUCUUGGAUCGGCGGAAGACGCGCAACUGCGAAAGCAUUUGCCAAGAAUGUUUUCU
rnacentral:rRNA from 1 species